GAUGAACGCUAGCGGCAGGCCUAACACAUGCAAGUCGAGGGGGAAGUUACUUUCGGGUGACUGAGACCGGCGUACGGGCGCGUAACGCGUAUACAAUCUGCCUUUCACUGGGGGAUAGCCCGAAGAAAUUUGGAUUAAUACCCCAUAGUAUAUAGGGACGGCAUCGUUUUUAUAUUAAAGCUUAGGUGGUGAAAGAUGAGUAUGCGUUCUAUUAGCUAGUUGGAGAGGUAACGGCUCCCCAAGGCGAUGAUAGAUAGGGGUUCUGAGAGGGAUGUCCCCCACACUGGUACUGAGAUACGGACCAGACUCCUACGGGAGGCAGCAGUGAGGAAUAUUGGACAAUGGUCGGAAGACUGAUCCAGCCAUGCCGCGUGCAGGAUGAAGGUCUUAUGGAUUGUAAACUGCUUUUGUAAGGGAAGAAUAAGGGCUACGCGUAGUUUGAUGACGGUACCUUACGAAUAAGCAUCGGCUAACUCCGUG
rnacentral:rRNA from 1 species